UUGAUAGAGGAACCUUUACUUUUUACAGGG
rnacentral:piRNA from 1 species